rnacentral:rRNA from 1 species
GAGUUUGAUCGUGGCUCAGAUUGAACGCUGGCGGCAUGCUUUACACAUGCAAGUCGAACGGGGUGAGGGGGCAACUCCUCAUUCAGUGGCGAACGGGUGAGUAAUGCAUCGGAACGUGUCCCGUAGUGGGGGAUAACGCCGCGAAAGCGGCGCUAAUACCGCAUACGCUCUUUGGAGGAAAGCAGGGGAUCGCAAGACCUUGCGCCAUGGGGGCGGCCGAUGUCCGAUUAGCUAGUUGGUGGGGUAAGGGCCUACCAAGGCGACGAUCGGUAGCUGGUCUGAGAGGAUGAUCAGCCACACUGGGACUGAGACACGGCCCAGACUCCUACGGGAGGCAGCAGUGGGGAAUUUUGGACAAUGGGGGCAACCCUGAUCCAGCCAUGCCGCGUGCGGGAAGAAGGCCUCGGUUG